CGAACGCUGGCGGCAGGCCUAACACAUGCAAGUCGAGCGAGGGAGCAAUCUCUAGCGGCGGACGGGUGAGUAACGCGUGGGAACGUGCCCCUUGGUACGGAAUAGCCCCGGGAAACUGGGAGUAAUACCGUAUGAGCUCUACGGAGGAAAGAUUUUAUCGCCAAGGGAUCGGCCCGCGUUGGAUUAGGUAGUUGGUGGGGUAAUGGCCUACCAAGCCGACGAUCCAUAGCUGGUUUGAGAGGAUGAUCAGCCACACUGGGACUGAGACACGGCCCAGACUCCUACGGGAGGCAGCAGUGGGGAAUCUUGGUCAAUGGACGCAAGUCUGAACCAGCCAUGCCGCGUGAAGGAUGAAGGCCCUAUGGGUCGUAAACUUCUUUUAUUAGGGAAGAAAAAACCGGGAUGCGUCCUGUACUGACGGUACUUAAUGAAUAAGGAUCGGCUAACUUCGCGCCAGCAGCCGCGGUAAUCUGAUGGCGCGAGG
rnacentral:rRNA from 1 species